GAUGUACUCCCUCCGUCCGGAAUUACUUGUCGCAAAAAUGAAUAGAAAUGGAUGUAUCUAAAACUAAAAUGCAUCUAGAUACAUUCAUUCCCCCAACAAGUAUUUCGGGACAGAGGGAGUAUAUG
rfam:Hordeum vulgare subsp. vulgare, WGS project CAJW01000000 data, contig: morex_contig_270484